rnacentral:rRNA from 1 species
AUGGUGCUUCGCGAUCAUGAUGGGUCGAUUAUCUUCUCCGCCUGCCGUUGCUUGUGGUCAUGCACGGACCCAUUGCAUGCCGAGCUAGCUGGUUUGAUGCAAGGCAUCACGCUGUCACUCUAG